rnacentral:tRNA from 1 species
GGGCAAGUGGUGGAAUGGCAUACACGCAGGACUUAAAAUCCUGUGGCCGUAAGGCCGUGUGGGUUCGACUCCCACCUUGCCCA